rnacentral:rRNA from 1 species
GUGGGGAUUAGUGGCGAACGGGUGAGUAACACGUGGGCAAUCUGCCCUGCACUCUGGGACAAGCCCUGGAAACGGGGUCUAAUACCGGAUACUGACCUUCACGGGCAUCUGUGAAGGUCGAAAGCUCCGGCGGUGCAGGAUGAGCCCGCGGCCUAUCAGCUUGUUGGUGAGGUAAUGGCUCACCAAGGCGACGACGGGUAGCCGGCCUGAGAGGGCGACCGGCCACACUGGGACUGAGACACGGCCCAGACUCCUACGGGAGGCAGCAGUGGGGAAUAUUGCACAAUGGGCGAAAGCCUGAUGCAGCGACGCCGCGUGAGGGAUGACGGCCUUCGGGUUGUAAACCUCUUUCAGCAGGGAAGAAGCGAAAGUGACGGUACCUGCAGAAGAAGCGCCGGCUAACUACGUGCCAGCAGCCGCGGUAAUACGUAGGGCGCAAGCGUUGUCCGGAAUUAUUGGGCGUAAAGAGCUCGUAGGCGGCUUGUCACGUCGGUUGUGAAAGCCCGGGGCUUAACCCCGGGUCUGCAGUCGAUACGGGCAGGCUAGAGUUCGGUAGGGGAGAUCGGAAUUCCUGGUGUAGCGGUGAAAUGCGCAGAUAUCAGGAGGAACACCGGUGGCGAAGGCGGAUCUCUGGGCCGAUACUGACGCUGAGGAGCGAAAGCGUGGGGAGCGAACAGGAUUAGAUACCC